GAACGGUCGAGUUGGCGUUACUCGCUCCCGAGGAAGGUUACCCAUCGGAGGCUGUGGUGUGGCGGCGCGCCAUCGAGUGCAGGUUAUGCAUCGGUGUAGCUGCUGUUUGACGGUAGUCCUUCCUCGAGGCACCCAGAAGCGCAGGCGGAGCAGGCCGAGAGUCAGUUGCACACCUCCGUGCAGCGUCCGUCGGUGGCAGGAAUCGAUCACCAGCCGAGUCAACCAUGAUGCCGCCGGGAUGAUCAUUGGAUGUUUCUCGUCGAGUGGUAGCUGAGCAUGUUUGAGACGUCCUCCGACGCGCAGCACGCCUUGAUCAUCGAGGACCGGACUCAACAUCGCUAGGUGGCUUCGUGGUGGGCUAGUGCGUCCAGCAGAAGCCGCAGCUACGUCCGUAGGAAAGUGGAGCGCCUGCACCACUCGCAGCCAUCGAAAUAAGGCGACGUCCAGCUCGUCCGGAUGCAAUAGACGGCCAGGUAUGGCGUCACGUCUCGCCUUAUUGAGCCAUCGCCGACACCAUGCCGUAACCCGCAGCAGCCUGUGCAGCGUUGGAAAUCGGAGGAGGAGGUCAGGUUCUGCCGAGACCGGUGCCUUGAUUACCAGACCGGUGGCUCGCUGCUCCGGGAGGUCAUCCUCUGGGACGUCGAUGUUUGAACCCGGCCAUGCAGUCUCGUCUCCUGAGAGCCAGGAUUCUCUCGUCCAGCGACGUGUCUCCAUUGAGCGUCUGGAAGCAGGGUCUGGAUCUGAGAUACUCGGUUGGCGACGAAGGUUUUCCAACGAGUGCUGUGUCCGCGGAUCCAAUGAAGUGUGACCCUUGAAUCUGACCACAGAUGCACCGGCGUCGUUGUCAAACCGAGAGUAGCGCGCACGUGGAGCAUGAGCGUGCGUUGCGGAUGUACACCACGGCGGCGUAUCCUCGCUCUGAAGCGUCGGCAAACCCAUGGAGCUGCAGUUGCGAAUGGUCGUCUCCGGUGUUGA